CCAGCAGUCCUCUGGUCUCAGCUUGCCAAGUGUCCUAAUCAGGGGUGUGAGCCAUCAUACCCAGAAAGAGGGCCAUGUGGAGCCGCAGCACCUGCCACAUGGUGGGUGCUUCUGUGGAAGCUCUCAGGCUCCGUUGCUUCUGACUGUGAUGGUAGUCAUAUAGUGGGCUUAAACAAUGAGUAUCUUCUAAUGACAUGAGGAAGCUAACCCCUCUUUCCAGCAACGAAACCCCUCACUACUGUGUAGAACCAGACCACAUAGUCAAGGGCAAGCAAGUUUUAGACCUUUUGUGCCCAGGCAGCAGAAGUGAACUGUGUGCCACACUGGGCCUCACUUGAACAUAUGAGACCUCAAAGUCUGCCCUCAGUGAUAGACAUCCCCCAACAAGGCCACACCUAUGCCAUCAAGGCCACACAUCCUAAUAAUGCCACUCCCUAUGAAAAAAGCAUUCAAACACGUGUCCCCACAGACACAAACCACAUAUUACCUCAUGCCCACUUUGGAGUGAUAACACAGUUACCUGUGUCCUCUGUGUCCAGCUCCAAGUUCAAGAUUCCUAGCUACAACCUGUACCUGGAGUUCAAAGUAUUUCUCAUGACGUGACUACUGAUAGACUAUCCAGCAGCUACAAAACAAAGUGUUUCCCUCUGACUCUCUCUCACAGUGCUUUUCCCCACUAUUGGGCACUCUCUCUGGGUGAUAGAAAUCCACAGAGUUUGGCAAAAUGAGAUAAUCUUAAGAACAAGAGAUAAUUGUCUUGGUCUCUUUGGGUUGACCUCUGCAACGCUAAUGGGGGGAUUCGUGGGAAUGUGGCAUUUGCCUUACAGGCUAAGAGAUAAAAGCUACCCUCAGAUUGUGCUACUUAUUGGGGCUCAGCGGGAUGCUUUUGUAUUUUUCUAGUAAAUCACUGUCCCUUUCUACUCAA